rnacentral:rRNA from 1 species
AUAAGCACCGGCUAACUACGUGCCAGCAGCCGCGGUAAUACGUAGGGUGCAAGCGUUAUCCGGAAUUAUUGGGCGUAAAGGGCUCGUAGGCGGUUCGUCGCGUCCGGUGUGAAAGUCCAUCGCUUAACGGUGGAUCUGCGCCGGGUACGGGCGGGCUGGAGUGCGGUAGGGGAGACUGGAAUUCCCGGUGUAACGGUGGAAUGUGUAGAUAUCGGGAAGAACACCAAUGGCGAAGGCAGGUCUCUGGGCCGUUACUGACGCUGAGGAGCGAAAGCGUGGGGAGCGAACAGGAUUAGAUACCCUGGUAGUCCACGCCGUAAACGGUGGAUGCUGGAUGUGGGGCCCGUUCCACGGGUUCCGUGUCGGAGCUAACGCGUUAAGCAUCCCGCCUGGGGAGUACGGCCGCAAGGCUAAAACUCAAAGAAAUUGACGGGGGCCCGCACAAGCGGCGGAGCAUGCGGAUUAAUUCGAUGCAACGCGAAGAACCUUACCUGGGCUUGACAUGUUCCCGACAGCCGUAGAGAUGCGGCCUCCCUUCGGGGCGGGUUCACAGGUGGUGCAUGGUCGUCGUCAGCUCGUGUCGUGAGAUGUUGGGUUAAGUCCCGCAACGAGCGCAACCCUCGCCCUGUGUUGCCAGCACGUCAUGGUGGGAACUCACGGGGGACCGCCGGGGUCAACUCGGAGGAAGGUGGGGAUGACGUCAGAUCAUCAUGCCCCUUACGUCCAGGGCUUCACGCAUGCUACAAUGGCCGGUACAACGGGAUGCGACAUGGCGACAUGGAGCGGAUCCCUGAAAACCGGUCUCAGUUCGGAUUGGAGUCUGCAACCCGACUCCAUGAAGGCGGAGUCGCUAGUAAUCGCGGAUCAGCAACGCCGCGGUGAAUGCGUUCCCGGGCCUUGUACACACCGCCCGUCAAGUCAUGAAAGUGGGUAGCACCCGAAGCCGGUGGCCCAACCAGUUCGCUGGGGGGAGCCGUCUAAGGUGAGACUCGUGAUUGGGACUAAGUCGUAACAAGGUAGCCGUACCGGAAGGUGCGGCUG